rnacentral:tmRNA from 1 species
GGGGAUGACGGGCUUCGACAGAAUAAUCUUCUGGUGCGUUGCAGGUCGAGUGCCUAACUCGUACUCUAGGCAAAAACAUAACUGCUAAAUCUAAAUUAGCACCUGCUUUCGCUUUUGCUUAAGUAGGUCUUGUCUGAUCAUUUAGUAUCAGUCCAUCGGCGUGUUGAGGUUCCAUAGGCACAUCACCGGUGUUAUAUCUGGAAAUCGUUCUGGAAAGUUGAUCUUGUAUCUAGAAUUAAAUCUUAAGAUCACUCGUUCUAUUCAUUUAGAUCUAAACUUGUAGAUUGCGUAUUAGAACUAUUCUGUACGUGGGUUCAACUCCCACCAUCUCCACCA